AGAGUUUGAUCAUGGCUCAAAUUGAACGCUGGCGGAAUGCUUUACACAUGCAAGUCGAACGGCAGCACGGGGGCAACCCUGGUGGCGAGUGGCGAACGGGUGAGUAAUACAUCGGAACGUGCCCAGUCGUGGGGGAUAACGUAGCGAAAGCUACGCUAAUACCGCAUACGAUCUCUGGAUGAAAGCGGGGGACCGCAAGGCCUCGCGCGAUUGGAGCGGCCGAUGGCAGAUUAGGUAGUUGGUGGGGUAAAGGCCUACCAAGCCGACGAUCUGUAGCUGGUCUGAGAGGACGACCAGCCACACUGGGACUGAGACACGGCCCAGACUCCUACGGGAGGCAGCAGUGGGGAUUUUUGGAACAAUGGGCGCAAGCCUGAUCCAGCCAUUCCGCGUGCAGGAUGAAGGCCCUCGGGUUGUAACUGCUUUUGUACGGAACGAACCGGCUGGGUUAAUACCCGGGCUAAUGACGGUACCGUAGAUAACCCGGCUACUACGUGCCACACCCCGGUAAUAGUAGGGGCAGCGUUAUCGAU
rnacentral:rRNA from 1 species